rnacentral:rRNA from 1 species
GGUGAGUAACACGUGGGUAACCUCGCCCAUCAGAAGGGGAUAACACUUGGAAACAGGUGCUAAUACCGUAUAACAAUCAAAACCGCAUGGUUUUGAUUUGAAAGGCGCUUUCGGGUGUCGCUGAUGGAUGGACCCGCGGUGCAUUAGCUAGUUGGUGAGGUAACGGCUCACCAAGGCCACGAUGCAUAGCCGACCUGAGAGGGUGAUCGGCCACAUUGGGACUGAGACACGGCCCAAACUCCUACGGGAGGCAGCAGUAGGGAAUCUUCGGCAAUGGACGAAAGUCUGACCGAGCAACGCCGCGUGAGUGAAGAAGGUUUUCGGAUCGUAAAACUCUGUUGUUAGAGAAGAACAAGGAUGAGAGUAACUGUUCAUCCCUUGACGGUAUCUAACCAGAAAGCCACGGCUAACUACGUGCCAGCAGCCGCGGUAAUACGUAGGUGGCAAGCGUUGUCCGGAUUUAUUGGGCGUAAAGCGAGCGCAGGCGGUUUCUUAAGUCUGAUGUGAAAGCCCCCGGCUCAACCGGGGAGGGUCAUUGGAAACUGGGAGACUUGAGUGCAGAAGAGGAGAGUGGAAUUCCAUGUGUAGCGGUGAAAUGCGUAGAUAUAUGGAGGAACACCAGUGGCGAAGGCGGCUCUCUGGUCUGUAACUGACGCUGAGGCUCGAAAGCGUGGGGAGCAAACAGGAUUAGAUACCCUGGUAGUCCACGCCGUAAACGAUGAGUGCUAAGUGUUGGAGGGUUUCCGCCCUUCAGUGCUGCAGCUAACGCAUUAAGCACUCCGCCUGGGGAGUACGACCGCAAGGUUGAAACUCAAAGGAAUUGACGGGGGCCCGCACAAGCGGUGGAGCAUGUGGUUUAAUUCGAAGCAACGCGAAGAACCUUACCAGGUCUUGACAUCCUUUGACCACUCUAGAGAUAGAGCUUCCCCUUCGGGGGCAAAGUGACAGGUGGUGCAUGGUUGUCGUCAGCUCGUGUCGUGAGAUGUUGGGUUAAGUCCCGCAACGAGCGCAACCCUUAUUGUAGUUGCCAUCAUUCAGUUGGGCACUCUAGCAAGACUGCCGGUGACAAACCGGAGGAAGGUGGGGAUGACGUCAAAUCAUCAUGCCCCUUAUGACCUGGGCUACACACGUGCUACAAUGGGAAGUACAACGAGUUGCGAAGUCGCGAGGCUAAGCUAAUCUCUUAAAGCUUCUCUCAGUUCGGAUUGCAGGCUGCAAC